AACGAACGCUGGCGGCAUGCCUAACACAUGCAAGUCGAACGAGACCUUCGGGUCUAGUGGCGCACGGGUGCGUAACGCGUGGGAACCUGCCUUUAGGUUCGGAAUAACUCAGAGAAAUUUGAGCUAAUACCGGAUGAUGUCUUCGGACCAAAGAUUUAUCGCCUUUAGAUGGGCCCGCGUUGGUUUAGCUAGUUGGUGGGGUAAAGGCCUACCAAGGCGACGAUCCAUAGCUGGUCGGAGAGGAGGAUCAGCCACACUGGGACUGGGACACGGCCCAAAUACUGGAGGAGGGGCGCAGGGGGGAUUCAGGGAUACUGGGCGAAAGCCGAAGCCACCAGGGCCGGGAGGGUGUUGAGGGCUUUAGGGUUAUAAGCCUCUUUUACCCGAGAUGUUAUGACCGUAACCGAAGAAUAAGCCCCGGCUAACUUCCUG
rnacentral:rRNA from 1 species